GAAUUUCUUUAUCUGCCGUGAUUAAAGGGAGCAGCACUUGGGAGACGCACCUAUAAAUUCUUGCAUUCAUUUGAGUUCGUGGGCACAAUGGACAGAUCGCGGCUGAGGCUAGCACAAUCAAACUGCCACCAGGACUGCACAAGGAAUUAAAGCUGCACCCAGCCUGACGGCUCCAGAGGGGACUCCAAACUAUCCUCUCAGAGAAGCAGAGAGGUCCAUGGCAUCACGGAACCAUUUAAGGUCCCCAAGUCCAGCCACCCACCCAGCCCCACCGCCGUGGUCACCCCUGAGCUGCCCGUGU